rnacentral:rRNA from 1 species
UACGAAGGGGGCUAGCGUUGCUCGGAAUCACUGGGCGUAAAGGUGCGUAGGCGGGUCUUUAAGUCAGGGGUGAAAUCCUGGAGCUCAACUCCAGAACUGCCUUUGAUACUGAGAGCUUGAGUCCGGGAGAGGUGAGUGGAACUGCGAGUGUAGAGGUGAAAUUCGUAGAUAUUCGCAAGAACACCAGUGGCGAAGGCGGCUCACUGGCCCGGUACUGACGCUGAGGUGA